UUAAAUUGAAGAGUUUGAUCAUGGCUCAGAUUGAACGCUGGCGGCAGGCCUAACACAUGCAAGUCGAACGGUAACAGGAAGCAGCUUGCUGCUUUGCUGACGAGUGGCGGACGGGUGAGUAAUGUCUGGGAAACUGCCCGAUGGAGGGGGAUAACUACUGGAAACGGUAGCUAAUACCGCAUAACGUCGCAAGACCAAAGAGGGGGACCUUCGGGCCUCUUGCCAUCGGAUGUGCCCAGAUGGGAUUAGCUAGUAGGUGGGGUAAAGGCUCACCUAGGCGACGAUCCCUAGCUGGUCUGAGAGGAUGACCAGCCACACUGGAACUGAGACACGGUCCAGACUCCUACGGGAGGCAGCAGUGGGGAAUAUUGCACAAUGGGCGCAAGCCUGAUGCAGCCAUGCCGCGUGUAUGAAGAAGGCCUUCGGGUUGUAAAGUACUUUCAGCGGGGAGGAAGGGAGUAAAGUUAAUACCUUUGCUCAUUGACGUUACCCGCAGAAGAAGCACCGGCUAACUCCGUGCCAGCAGCCGCGGUAAUACGGAGGGUGCAAGCGUUAAUCGGAAUUACUGGGCGUAAAGCGCACGCAGGCGGUUUGUUAAGUCAGAUGUGAAAUCCCCGGGCUCAACCUGGGAACUGCAUCUGAUACUGGCAAGCUUGAGUCUCGUAGAGGGGGGUAGAAUUCCAGGUGUAGCGGUGAAAUGCGUAGAGAUCUGGAGGAAUACCGGUGGCGAAGGCGGCCCCCUGGACGAAGACUGACGCUCAGGUGCGAAAGCGUGGGGAGCAAACAGGAUUAGAUACCCUGGUAGUCCACGCCGUAAACGAUGUCGACUUGGAGGUUGUGCCCUUGAGGCGUGGCUUCCGGAGCUAACGCGUUAAGUCGACCGCCUGGGGAGUACGGCCGCAAGGUUAAAACUCAAAUGAAUUGACGGGGGCCCGCACAAGCGGUGGAGCAUGUGGUUUAAUUCGAUGCAACGCGAAGAACCUUACCUGGUCUUGACAUCCACGGAAGUUUUCAGAGAUGAGAAUGUGCCUUCGGGAACCGUGAGACAGGUGCUGCAUGGCUGUCGUCAGCUCGUGUUGUGAAAUGUUGGGUUAAGUCCCGCAACGAGCGCAACCCUUAUCCUUUGUUGCCAGCGGUCCGGCCGGGAACUCAAAGGAGACUGCCAGUGAUAAACUGGAGGAAGGUGGGGAUGACGUCAAGUCAUCAUGGCCCUUACGACCAGGGCUACACACGUGCUACAAUGGCGCAUACAAAGAGAAGCGACCUCGCGAGAGCAAGCGGACCUCAUAAAGUGCGUCGUAGUCCGGAUUGGAGUCUGCAACUCGACUCCAUGAAGUCGGAAUCGCUAGUAAUCGUGGAUCAGAAUGCCACGGUGAAUACGUUCCCGGGCCUUGUACACACCGCCCGUCACACCAUGGGAGUGGGUUGCAAAAGAAGUAGGUAGCUUAACCUUCGGGAGGGCGCUUACCACUUUGUGAUUCAUGACUGGGGUGAAGUCGUAACAAGGUAACCGUAGGGGAACCUGCGGUUGGAUCACCUCCUUA
rnacentral:rRNA from 1 species